ensembl:snoRNA
GCACGGCUGAAUUCUGUGUUACUCUUCUCAAUAGUAACUGCAGUCAGACACCAUGCAAGAUCAAUCCUCAUCCUCUCUACCUUCUCAGUGUCUGAGGCCAUUUUGUCCAGUCACUGAAGAGAGACUGAGUACAUAC